rnacentral:rRNA from 1 species
UACAGAGGUCCCAAGCGUUGUUCGGAUUCACUGGGCGUAAAGGGUGCGUAGGCGGUCGGGUAAGUCUGAUGUGAAAUCUCACAGCUUAACUGUGAAACUGCAUUGGAUACUAUCCGGCUCGAGGAAUGGAGGGGAGACUGGAAUACUUGGUGUAGCAGUGAAAUGCGUAGAUAUCAAGUGGAACACCGGUGGCGAAGGCGGCCUGCUGGGCCGGAGUGUAGCGAUACACCGUUAGCUGACGCUGAGGCGCGACAGCGUGGGGAGC